rnacentral:rRNA from 1 species
UACGUAGGGCGCAAGCGUUGUCCGGAAUUAUUGGGCGUAAAGAGCUCGUAGGCGGUUUGUCGCGUCGGAUGUGAAAGCCCGGGGCUCAACCCCGGGUCGGCCGUGCGGACUGGCGUGCUCGAGCACUGUAGGGGCGGGUGGAAUUCCGGGUGUAGCGGUGGAAUGCGUAGAGAUCCGGAAGAACACCGGUGGCGAAGGCGGCCCGCUGGGCAGGAAGGCUCGCAAGAGCCGGCUGACGCUGAGGCGCGACAGCGUGGGGAGCAAACAGG